rnacentral:rRNA from 1 species
UACGUAGGGUGCAAGCGUUGUCCGGAAUUAUUGGGCGUAAAGAGCUCGUAGGCGGUCUGUCGCGUCUGCUGUGAAAACUCAGGGCUUAACCCUGAGCUUGCAGUGGGUACGGGCAGACUAGAGUGCGGUAGGGGAGACUGGAAUUCCGUGGUGUAGCGGUGAAAUGCGCAGAUAUCAGGAGGAACACCGGUGGCGAAGGCGGGUCUCUGGGCCGUAACUGACGCUGGAGGAGCGGAAAAGCAUGGGGAGCGAACAGG